rnacentral:lncRNA from 1 species
AAGUGAGGAUCAGCGAUGGCUAGAAGGCUUUGAAGUCGGGUUUUUCCUGGAUUUACAAGACAUUUGAAAUUGACCUGGCAAGCCUGUCUCAGUCUGAGCAUGAUCACAACAAAAGUAGCUGUGCAGCACGUUUUUUAAUGAAGAGGAGGAUGGUUGUAGACGUUCACAUUCCUGCAAUAAGGCACUGCAGAGGCUAAGAAGACGCAUGGAAACUCUAAAAGAAACAUAAUUCAACUUGUAGGCCAGAUUUGAAAAGGAAAUAAUAAAUCCCGAAGCUCAGAUGUCAGACACCGAGGCUGCCAGUACCUCUGGGUCGAUAGUCCAUGUGUUGGAUGAUGCACUGCCGUUGAUCAGAACAAGUUAGUAACUUGACCAAAGCUAUGCUUGGAUACAAGACUGAUGACUCAAUAACCAAUAUUGACAACAGUGAAGAUGGUUGCGUCCCAGGGCCAUCAGAGGAAGGCAAUUUCUAUGAAGAAAAUCUGACCGGAGAGAUGUCAGCGAUUCGGGCCAAUGACCAAGGGAAAGCUGGGACAAAAGAGAGGCUCACACGGUGCCAAAGGAACAAAAAGGUAUUGGUCGACAAUAGAGGUGGAUGCAGUUGAUUCCUUGAUGAAUUUUAUCCGAAUGGGAAAAACAACUGGAAAACAAGACUGUGAGAAUUGCAUUGCUGCUUCUCCCCAAGCGCUAGUAAACAGGGACUGGAGAGCAGUUAAGUUCUAUGUACACAACAGAAUAGUUGCAGAUCAGAGAAAAUAAGUGUAUGAGAUGCUUCUGGCUAUCUUGGUGUACUUCUGAGGAUUUAAUGGGACUUACUUGACUUAAACUCAUCAACAGAUGACGAAUGUCCUCUAUCUCACUGUUUCGAUCGUCAAAAGGAGUGGAUCAAAACGCAGCGUGUUGAGUGCUCAUAUUUAUUACACUUAAAAAAAGAAUCAAAAACGAAAGCAAACAGUUCCGUCAGGCAACAGACAACUAAACGGAAAACCACUACCCACAAAAACCCAGGUGGGAAAAGGAUGCCUAAGUAUGGCUCCCAAUCAAAGACAACGAUAGACAGCUGCCUCUUAUUAGGAACCAUACCGGGCCAAAACAUAGAAAUAAAACACAUAGAAUGCCCACCCCAUAUCACACCCUGACCUAACCAAACAGAGAGAAAUGGCUCUCUCAGGUCAGGGCGUGACACUCACUGUCCGGGG